rnacentral:rRNA from 1 species
UACAGAGGGGGCGAGCGUUGUUCGGAAUUACUGGGCGUAAAGGGCGCGUAGGCGGCCUUCUAAGUCGAACGUGAAAUCCCCGGGCUCAACCCGGGAACUGCGUCCGAUACUGGGAGGCUUGAAUCCGGGAGAGGGAUGUGGAAUUCCAGGUGUAGCGGUGAAAUGCGUAGAUAUCUGGAGGAACACCGGUGGCGAAGGCGGCUCACUGGACCGGAACUGACGCUGAGGCGCGAAAAGCGUGGGGAGCAAACAGG